CAAGAAUUUUGAACCUGACUUCAUUCGGUGUUCAGAUUUCUGAACUUGAAAUAUACACAAAUAUUAGCUAAUGCUUUAUUUGCAUAAUUAGAUUUGACAAUUUUCAGAACAAGUUUCUGAAUGACAUGAAUCAGUUUGGGAGUAUGGUGAAAUCAAAUUAGUUUAUGUUUUUUACCCUGGUCACCUGCAAUGUCUUGCCUUAACAUAAUAUUAACACAUUUAGAUUCAGAAGUUUUGUGUAGCCUAUAUGACACAUUAAAUUGUAUUAUUUAGAUAUUGCCAUCAUAUCGGUCACCCUGCUUUCUAGCAGUCAUUCACUGAGUAACCCAUAUCAACCACUAAACUGAGAUUUUACUUUAACGAACUGAGUAAAUUAUAUUAACAUAAUUUACAAGUAGGGGUACGUGAUAAAUAUCGGCCGUUAAAUAGUGCUCAUCUCGUCAGUAAAGCCGGUUCUCUAAUCAGCGUAAAUUCCAUCAGGUGCGUGAUUUCACAUAGAGCAGCUGUUACUACACAGAGCCUUAGUAACUGACAAGCUGCGCAAUUCCACGCUGAUAAUGAACAGCUGCUCUAUGUGGAAUCACGCACCUGAUGGAAUUUACGCUGAUUAGAGAACCGGCUUUACUGACGAGAUGCGCACCCAAUUAACGGCCGAUAUUUAUCAUGCACCCCUGCUUACAAUGAAUAACAUGUUUUCUUUUGCAGGUGGAUCGCUGAGACCGGGCAUGCGGCCAGUGCGACCAGUGCGACCUAUCCCAGACAGCAAGCAGUUUCGGCCCACAUCUGGCCCGCAUGGAUUUCAUACGGGCCAGAUGUGGGCCGGAUCUGGGCCAAAACCGCUUGCUGUCUGGGAUGGGUGGUCCUCCUAUGGUCUAUCCCUCUCCUCAUGGCAUGAUUCCUGGAGGAUCAGGUUCAGGUAUACGGCCACCGAUGGGUGGACCUACGCAAAUGAUGCCCGGGCCACACGUGACGCAACCUCCCGCUCGGCCAGUGCUGCCAGCCAUUAGACCCGGAAUGCCGCGAUUUGCGCUAUAAAGCCACCAUGCUGUGACUACUAACCUGAUCUCCACAAAGACUCGGCCAAAUAUCCACACUGGAUUUACAGUCGAUCGACGAGUUUUAUUUCCCAUUUGCAUUCUGUGACGUCUGCGAUUCAGAAAAUUCGAGUGCACUGUAAAAAGUGAACAUGGGUCUAAGUUGGAUUACUAGAACUAUUUGAGUCUAUUUACUUCGUAUUUCUGCUUUCCUAAUCGUAAUUGAUUAUUGUACACUCAUUCAACUUGAGCGCAUAGAAAUUCACAGACACUCAAAUAUCUCACUUUCACCCAAAGUAUAAUUUCCCUUUAAAAGGAUCUCCGCGCCAGACGUUUUUUUCUGACGUCAUGACGCACGAGCCUGAUUUCAACUUCUGUUGCUCAGCUGACAACCGCCAUUUUUUCUCUCCGCACUCGGAUGAAAAAGGUAGGUUGGAAGUUUGUUUUAAUUAAUAUACUCGAAAAUGCAACUUUUGUACGUGUGUUUUAGUUGUCUAUGAGUUAAUUAAUGUUGUUUGUGAACAUGAAUACUAACGUUAACGUUAAUUUUUGAACGUACGUCUGCGAUAUAGCGUUACUGAACAUGUUUUAUGUAUACAGUAUGUUGCAUUUACUCGUUUGUUUUAUAAAAAUGUGUUCAGUUUGGAUCUCGGGAGUGUGUGUAUAAAAUUAUUUUUUAAAUUGAUAGCUCAAGUUAACGUUAACCGUCUGUGCCGCGCGAGAUAUUGGAAAUGCUUUGGGCGGGAAGUGCUCGGGGAGCGGGAUAAAAUGCUCGAAUUUGAUUUCUUGCAGUAAAAUAUUGAGUGUGCUUUU
ensembl:lncRNA